AACGAACGCUGGCGGCAGGCCUAACACAUGCAAGUCGAGCGAAGACAUCGGUUCUAGCCGCGGACGGGUGAGUAACGCGUGGGAAUGUGCCCUUCUCUACGGCAUAGCCCUGGGAAACUGGUCGUAAUACCGUAUACGCCCUAUUGGGGAAAGAUUUAUCGGAGAAGGAGCAGCCCGCGUUGGAUUAGGUUGUUGGUGGGGUAAUGGCCUACCAAGCCGAGGAUCCAUAGCUGGUUUGAGAGGAUGAUCAGCCACACUGGGGCUGAGACACGGCCCAGACUCCUACGCGAGGGAGGAAUGGGGGAUCUAGGACAAUGGCGGCAACCCUGAAGGUGUCAUGACGCGAGAGUGAUGUAGGUCUUAGGGUAGUAAAGCUCUUUCAGCUGUGAAGGUAAUGACGGUACCAGCAGAAGAAGCCCCGGCUAACUCCGUG
rnacentral:rRNA from 1 species